rnacentral:tRNA from 2 species
UGCCUACUAGCACAAUUUGGCAGUUGCGCUCCGCUCUGGACGGAGAGGUUCUAGGUUCGAGUCCUAGGUAGGCAGC